rnacentral:misc_RNA from 1 species
CCGCGCCACCGGAUCCAGUUGGCGGCCCAUCGAUCCUUCACAUCCGAUGCGAAGACGGCCGUUCGGCCGAGUCCAAUCGGCCAGAACGCCAGCAAUGGAUCUUCUUCGUCUGUACUGACGACCUCGAGCGCCGUAUCCUUCAGGACUGUUGCUGUUCGGCCCUUCAGGCGCGGGAUCCGUGAGACGUCGACGCCGGAGAGGAACGCCGGCGCCUUCAAGACAGGCGUGAUGUCUCUCUCGUCAAACGAUGGUGUUGCUGCGUUCUUCAUCGAUGCU